GGGAACUCAUCUCUCCGCCUGGUGACGUCACGUUGGCCCGAGCACUGCUGCCCGAGUCCAGCUGUUCAUCUCCCUCGCAUUCUGCUGCUCGCCCUAAUAGCAAUCAGAUGGCGCAAGUGGAAAAUCACGGCGCUCGGCGAGCAAGCUGGAAAUUGGCGGGCUGUGGUGCCUGGUGCCUGUGCUGCUCUGCAGGAGGAUGAGUCAGGCCCCCUUCCCCAUUGAGCCCCUGGAGGGGGGAGUCCUGGAACGCGUUCAUGCCUGGGGCACUGAGCAUUGGUAGGGGUGGGGGUGCAAAGUGGGGGGUGCAGGAGCCAGCAGGGUGGCCAGGAGGAGGGGGUGAUGAGAGGGCUCCCCUCCUGCCCUGGGCCAACUUUCUCAGGGUCCAGGAAGCCCAAGGGAAUUCUGAGCUUUCCCAGCAGGAGCGUAGUGCCCAGACUGGGAGAGGUGUGCCUCUGUGGGCUUCUUGAAGGGAAACGAGAAACACAGCUGCCUUUGCACCUGCGCUGGGAGCUGCCCGCCUCCUGCUCGUCCUGCCCACGUGCAAACCUCACCGUGGAAGAGGGAGUCUCGCGCUGCUUCCCGCAUGACCCAGCUGGCCUCCUGGGGUCUGUUUUUCAGGGAUGGGCUGAGGAGGGACUCUGGGAUCCUGGAGGCUCACGGGCCAUGCCUGAGGCUGAGAGAGAGGCUGGAGGCAGCAGGCAGGGUGGUGACCCGUCCCCUCUUCUCCAGGGCAGCCAGCUGGGGCCCAGCUGGAACGUUUGUUUACAUGGGGUGGCCGGGGGAGGCUGAAUCCCGGCGAGUUCCAAGUGUAAUUGCAUUUGGACACUUAAAAGGAAUUGUGUGAAGUGGGCAGAGGCUCUUAAGUCCACCACCUUAUUUGGUAUGGAAAUUUGUUUCUCUCAAAAUAAGCGAGAGGCGCUUGUAAACGGGAAGGUCGUCCUGGCCUGGGUUUGUGGAGUCCCCUUACCGUGGGCUUGGUGUGUCCGGCUGCUCUGACGCAGUACCGCAGACUGGGGGCUUAUCGGUGCAGGCGUUUCUUCCCAUGGCUGUGGGGGCUGGAAGGCCAAGAUCAAGGCACCCACAAAUUCAGCGUCUGGCUUGGGUGACCUUGGACAGUUUUCUUUCCACCGGGGACCUUGGUUUCCUCAGCUGUCAGAUGGGAAACGGUAAUGACCCACAGGGUUACAGCAAGGAGGGAUCGGACGCCUGGAGGAAGAGCUCUUCGUGCACCUCAGCAACGCCGCUCCCUGCUCCAGGCGUCCUGCUGGUGCCAUUCCCUCCCAGCGAGGCUCAGGGCUCUGGCUGACGCUGAGAAUGGGGUAUGGCCCCUGCUCGUCCAGCCUUCACUUUCUAAACAGCCACCACUUGCCGUCAGGAGUCCUCCCCUGCCCUCCCAGUAGAACGUUGUUUUUAAUCAUCCUCUGCCAAGGGCCUCAUGGUCCUACGCCUCUCCCCAUGUCCCCUCCUGAGGUUGCAGGCCUGGACCCUCCUCUGUUGGGGGGUCCUUGGGGGAAGGAGACCGCAGAGAUGUCUCCCUACCAGGUGCUUCUGUUGCCUACGGUUGCCCUGCUGCUCCCUGGACAAGGGGGCGGGUGUGAACCAGUCCUUGUGGCCCUCUGCAGCCAGCACCAUCCUCAGUAAAGACUGCAGCUAUUUCCUGAGCACUGCUGGGUGCCAGGCACUGUGGUCCGCGCUGAUGAACAGGACAGGCGAGGUCCCUGCCCUCCGGGAGCUGAUGUCCAACAGAGAGGCAGACCAGGUCAAAGGAAACACAGUAAAACGCACCUGCGAUGAAGAAGAUCCUGAGAACAUGUGACUUUACCCUGGCCAAAGGGACUUUGCAAAUGGGAUGAAGAGUCUUGAGAUGAGAGCAUCAUCGUGGAUUAUCCAUGUGGGCCCCAUGUCAUCACAAGGGUCCUUGUAAGAAGGAGACAGGAGAUCAGAAUGAGUAGUGGGCCAUGUGUUGAUGUGAGGAAGGGGCCACUAGCCAAAGAAUGCAGGCUGCCUCUAGAAACUGGAGAGGACAAGGGAACAAGCUCCAGAAAGAACCAGAAACAGAGCCUCCAGAACAGAGCCUCCAGAAAGAACCAGCCCUGCCAACACCUUGACUUUAGGCCUCUGAUUUCUGGAACUCUUACUAGAGUUACUUGUGUUGUUUAAGCCACUAAGUGUGUGUCAUUUGUCAUAGCAGCCACAAGAAACUAAUCCAGGGGGAUGGCCAGGCCUGAUUAGCUGGCGUGGGGCUGGAGGCUCCUCUACAGAGAUGAUGCUUGCACUGAGACCUGAAGGAGAAGGAGAAGGAGGUGGCCGCUCACGCAAUUGUCAGUUUGCCAUGCGGAUGCUCUUUUAACAAGACUUAAUCUUUUAGUGGAGAGGUGCAAGGACUUUAUUUGGGGGGUGACCCCAAGAAACAUUACAGGGAAGAGAAAGAAUUUUGAGAAUUCCCUCCCACCUUGCUUUGAGGGGUCUUGUCUUCAGCUCACCACUGCCCUUGCCUUCUUUGUGGAUUAUUGUGGCAACAGACACCUGCAAACCCUAGGUCGGUCCUCAGCGAGGGUGGCUUGGGCAGCCAGAGACAGCCUGAGAACAGCUGCCAGGAUGACUGUCGGACCCUCAGGGGCCUGGCGGGAAGCUCACUCCUGCUCUGGGGCAUCCAGAGAGGGAGACCAGAGUUGAAGUCACGCUGAACACUGAGGUCACGUGCGGGCUUUUCCUCUGGGCCUGCCACUGGCACGCCUGUGCAAACCAAACUCAAAUAUGUCUUCAGAUCCAAUCCAACUUCGUCACAGUUUCCCCUGGGACUGGUGCAAAACUGGUACAAAACUCUUUGCUUUCUCAAGUCUGAGAGAUCUGGGGUCUUCUGUUUGGGGGAGACCAUGUUUCCGAAACUUUUUAUCAGAAGCAGCUACUUCCAGACAAAACUUCCUAUUGUUCGGCCUCGAAUGCAUCUCUUGAAUCUGGAAUUUCCCCAACGCUUGAUUCCACGGGAUGGCUGAACAGAUGACACUGGCUGGGGGGUGGGUGUAGGUGUGUUGGUGUGUAUAUUUCAAGUCACUUUUGCUUUUUAAAAAAUAUUUAAUUCCAGGAUCAUUUUUUAAAUUGUGAUAAAACGUGCAUAAUAUAAAAUUUA